CUAGCUAGCUGCCUGAGCUGCACCGGCAUGCGUGGUGCAGCCUGUAGCCUUCUAAUUUGCAACCAUGCAAUUGGAGAUGACUUCUGAAUUUUGAAUUUGUUUUGUUUCAGGAGAUUGAGAAGUCAGACAUCUGGAUUUUGGUGUAGAACACAUGUUAUGCUCUGGGCAUAUGAAGUUCCAAGGGCAAGAAACAGUAUAACUGGAGGCAAGAGAAGAACUUUCUGUCAUAUACCAUCAGGAUAGCAAAGCUGAUACAAUUUUUUAAAGCAAUGAUUGUUCAGUGUGAUCCUUAAGUCCUUCACACUCAUUCUUACCGGCCAUGCACUAGAAAUAAUGAUCAUGUCAUCUUAUGUAUCACUUCAUAUGUAUGUAUGUCUCUCGUGGAUGCGCCAGAUUGACAAAUAUGUGUGCCCGGGAAGGGUCUAGUUUGACGUGUACUCGAAUAUUUGUGCAACUGAUGGUCUAGCUUGACAUGUACUUAAAUAAUUCCAAUAUUUGUGCCUGGAAUUGUCCAGUCUAA